GUGCCACCCUCCAUCUUACCAAGCCCCCGCGAUCCCUCCAAGUUCAGUUAUUACAGAUCCCUACUCAGCUGGAAUGAAGCAUGCUUUUCAUUCUGGCAUCGAGGAUCAGUCUGGCUAUGAUGACUACCUUUAAAACCACCAUUCUCUUCAUCAUCUAGGACUCAGUAACUGUGGGAUGUGGUCUACAGAAGCACUUUCACAUGAAAUAUAUCUUUAGCAAUUUAUAGAAUUUUCUGCAGAACAACUAUAGAUUUUUUAAAGAAUGAUUAAUGAUAAUAAAGACAAUAACAGUGACUCAUAACAGUUUGUAAAACAAGAUAUCAAUCCAUAUAAUGCAUAACCUCUUCUGCAAACUAAUUUCACUUAUUCCCGGUUCUCACAAACGAGUCAGUGUAUCUAUUGUUUUAGAAUUUGAAUAAAUUGAUUUUUGUGAAACUUUUUGCUUGAAAGUGCACUUGUGUUGUAAAUGGAUAUUUGUUUAAAAAAUUACAUUUCUGGGAUCAUUUACAAAACUGCAUGAUUUACUUUCUUUUAUGGAACAU